CAGCCGCCGCGGUAAUACGAAGGGUGCAAGCGUUAAUCGGAAUUACUGGGCGUAAAGCGUGCGUAGGCGGUUUGUUAAGUCUGUUGUGAAAUCCCCGGGCUCAACCUGGGAAUUGCAGUGGAUACUGGAUCACUAGAGUGUGGUAGAGGAUAGUGGAAUUUCCGGUGUAGCAGUGAAAUGCGUAGAGAUCGGAAGGAACAUCUGUGGCGAAGGCGACUAUCUGGGCCAACACUGACACUGAGGCACGAAAGCGUGGGGAGCAAACAGGAUUAGAUACCCCCGUAGUCCCUGUCUCUUAUAC
rnacentral:rRNA from 1 species